rnacentral:rRNA from 1 species
CCUACGGGAGGCAGCAGUGAGGAAUAUUGGUCAAUGGGCGAGAGCCUGAACCAGCCAAGUCGCGUGAGGGAGUACUGCCCUAUGGGUUGUAAACCUCUUUUGUCGGGGAGCAAAAGCCGGACGUGUCCGGCUGUGAGAGUACCCGAAGAAAAAGCAUCGGCUAACUCCGUGCCAGCAGCCGCGGUAAUACGGAGGAUGCGAGCGUUAUCCGGAUUUAUUGGGUUUAAAGGGUGCGCAGGCGGAUUUUUAAGUCAGCGGUAAAAUCGUGGGGCUCAACCCCAUCCAGCCGUUGAAACUGGGGAUCUAGAGUGUGCGAGAGGUAUGCGGAAUGCGUGGUGUAGCGGUGAAAUGCAUAGAUAUCACGGAGAACCCCGAUUGCGAAGGCAGCAUACCGGUGCACAACUGACGCUCAGGCACGAAAGCGUGGGUAUCGAACAGGAUUAGAUACCCUUGUAGUC